GAUGAAGAACGUAGCGAAAUGCGAUAAGUAAUGUGAAUUGCAGAAUUCAGUGAAUCAUCGAAUCUUUGAACGCACAUUGCGCCCCCUGGUAUUCCGGGGGGCAUGCCUGUUCGAGCGUCAUUUCACCACUCAAGCCUCGCUUGGUAUUGGGCAACGCGGUCCGCCGCGUGCCUCAAAUCGACCGGCUGGGUCUUCUGUCCCCUAAGCGUUGUGGAAACUAUUCGCUAAAGGGUGUUCGCGAGGCUACGCCGUAAAACAACCCCAUUUCUAAGGUUGACCUCGGAUCAGGUAGGGAUACCCGCUGAACUUAAGCAUAUCAAUAAGCGGAGGA
rnacentral:misc_RNA from 1 species